rnacentral:lncRNA from 1 species
UAUCUUGGGUUAAUCUUUGUCCCACAGCAUGUUAAAUAUGAAUUCUCGGAUGCUGAAAAGCCUAUAACAACUCUCUUAUGUUUCCUAGAGCAGUAGUUCUCCGUGCUGAACAUUAGAAAUACUGUACUUGGGAUCUGUGCUUGUAGAGUUUGUAACACAUCCAUUUACUUGGGCCCCCACUGUAGAGAUAGGCAUUAAUUGAUGGGGCUGUUGAAUUUAUAAGAGCUCUAGGUGACUCUACGAAGAGAUCAGGGUUGAGAAUUAUUUUUUCAAAGACUUCUUGCUGUCUUCUACUUUAUUUGGUAAGUUGAGUGAUUUCCUCCCCCUUUUCUUUUAUCAAUUUUCUGGUAGGUACUGUCUCUUUAUUUCCCUGGCAAUUUUCUUUCUUUUAUUGGAUACAGAGAAAAUUAGUAUCAUUUUGUUGGGCUGUGAUUGUUUGGAAAAAUAAAGUCACAUGUGGGUUAAAAUUAUAAUUGACUUAAUUGGGAGGCAAUGUCACUGGGGUCUGGGCCCAUAACCUUAUGUACCAGCUUCAGGGAGAUGGCAUAUGAUAUGAUUAAAAAUAUUAUUGGACAAUAUAAAUAUAGUGUGUGUGUGUGUGUGUGUGUGUGUGUGUGUAUCUCCACAAAUCUGAUUUCAUUACUCAUGAGAGGCUGUUCACAGAAUCCCAGGACUAAAAUGUGGCCAUCUGUGCCAAGGUUUCUCUGCAUACGCUUCAUACUGGACUCAGGGCUAAGUUCAUUCCCAAGCCUUAGAGCAGACUGCAUAACGACGCUAUGAUGAAGGGCAGAGCACCUGAGUUCAUAAACAAGAUUGUUGAUCAGUUCUUCUGUAUCAUCUGAUCUGCUGUUGAUUCCCUCUAGUGUUCAGGUGAUCUUAACAAGGAAAACAGUGGAAACAGUGUCAGACUUUAUUUUUUGGGGCUCCAAAAUCACUGCAGAUGGUGACUGCAGCCAUGAAAUUAAAAGACGCUUACUCCUNNNNNNNNNNNNNNNNNNNNNNNNNNNNNNNNNNNNNNNNNNNNNNNNNNNNNNNNNNNNNNNNNNNNNNNNNNNNNNNNGGAGAAGACUCUUGAGAGUCCCUUGGACUGCAAGGAGAUCCAACCAGUCCAUUCUGAAGGAGAUCAGCCCUGGGAUUUCUUUGGAGGGAAUGAUGCUAAAGCUGAAACUCCAGUACUUUGGCCACCUCAUGAGAAGAGUUGACUCAUUGGAAAAGUCUCUGAUGCUGGGAGGGAUUGGGGGCAGGAGGAAAAGGGGACGACCGAGGAUGAGAUGGCUGGAUGGCAUCACGGACUUUAUGGACGUGAGUCUGAGUGACCUCUGGGAGUUGGUGAUGGACAGGGAGGCCUGGUGUGCUGCGAUUCAUGGGGUCGCAAAGAGUCGGACACGACUGAGCGACUGAACUGAACUGAACUGAAGGUGGCAUUUCCACACACUGGGGAGUCUGGAAACAUACAGGCUUAAAGAUAGUGAGGAUAUGUGUGUGUGUGUGUGUGUGUGUGUGUGUGUGUGUGUGUGUGGUGGGCUGGUUCACAGAGGGAGUAGAGGUGGGAAAGUGUCAGAGAGUCCUGGUCAAGGGGAAGUUCUGGGAAGUGGGCAAUCCCAGAGAGCAUUUAACUUCUAUGAAGGACAGGUUACUUAAAAAAAUACAUGUGUAAAUUCACUUUGUGUUUUCAUUUAAAACCUUCCCUGGGUUUCUCUCCACAUAUUAAUGUGGGGAAAUGAGACACUAAUGGAUAGGUUUUCUUGUUGUUGUUCUGUAGCUAUAAAAGAUAUAUCUUCUACCUUUGACUUUGCAAACUGACUUUUAUCACCCUGCUUUACUAUCCCAACUGAAAGAGGGAGAAGAAAGAAGAAUGACCCCAGAACAGAAUGCUGUUCUCCCAACUCUUGAUUUCAGCAGUGCAGAAAUUGUUUAAUGAAUUAGGGUUUUUAGAUUAAACUGAAUCUAUUUCCAUCACUCUGAAUAUGUAACUAAUGAUGCCAAUGCCUUUUGAACAAAGAAAGAUGGCAAUAU